AUUUAAAUAGCUUAAAUUAACAAAGUUUAAUAAUGAAAAUAUUAAGAUAAUUUUUAUAAUUUUUAAAUU
rnacentral:tRNA from 1 species